GACGAACGCUGGCGGCGUGCUUAACACAUGCAAGUCGAACGGAAAGGCCCUGCUUUUGUGGGGUGCUCGAGUGGCGAACGGGUGAGUAACACGUGAGUAACCUGCCCUUGACUUUGGGAUAACUUCAGGAAACUGGGGCUAAUACCGUAUAGGAGCUCCUGCUGCAUGGUGGGGGUUGGAAAGUUUCGGCGGGUGGGGAUGGACUCGCGGCUUAUCAGCUUGUUGGUGGGGUAGUGGCUUACCAAGGCUUUGACGGGUAGCCGGCCUGAGAGGGUGACCGGCCACAUUGGGACUGAGAGACGGCCCAGACUGCUACGGGAGGCAGCAGUGGGGAAUAUUGCACAAUGGGCGGAAGCCUGAUGCAGCAACGCCGCGUGCGGGAUGACGGCCUUCGGGUUGUAAACCGCUUUCGCCUGUGACGAAGCGUGAGUGACGGUAAUGGGUAAAGAAGCACCGGCUAACUACGUG
rnacentral:rRNA from 1 species